UUACAAAAAACUUUUAUUUUUUCACAUUAAAAGCAAAACCAUUUGACAUAUUUUGGAAUUAAUCAUAGUAUAAAAAUGAAGUGCCUGUCUGUCUAUGCCUGCAGCUGAGUAGUAAGGAAGCCAAGGGCUGCAGAAUUUCAAGCAAGAGGAUUAAGGUACCAAACAUCACAGAACACUUUAAUUCACACUUUGAGGUACUGUAGGUUUAGACAUCACAAUAUAUUAUUCAAAAUUAGUGUUAAGUGAAUCUAAGUUAACAAA